rnacentral:rRNA from 1 species
AGCAGCCGCGGUAAUUCCAGCUCCAAUAGCGUAUAUUAAAGUUGUUGCAGUUAAAAAGCUCGUAGUUGAAUUUCGGGGUUAGUAGGUUGGUCAUGCCUCUGGUAUGUACUGGUCUCACUGAUUCCUCCUUCCUGAUGAACCUUAAUGCCAUUAAUUUGGUGUUUUGGGGAAUUUGGACUGUUACUUUGAAAAAAUUAGAGUGUUUAAAGCAAGCUAACGCUUGAAUACAUUAGCAUGGAAUAAUGAAAUAGGACGUUCGAUCCUAUUUUGUUGGUUUCUAGGAUUGACGUAAUGAUUAAUAGGGAUAGUUGGGGGCAUUAGUAUUCAAUUGUCAGAGGUGAAAUUCUUGGAUUUAUUGAAGACUAACUACUGCGAAAACAUUUGCCAAGGAUGUUUUCAUUAAUCAAGAACGAAAGUUAGGGGAUCGAAGACGAUCAGAUACCGUCGUAGUCUUAACCAUAAACUAUGCCGACUAGGGAUCGGAUGAUGUUAAUUUUUUAAUGACUCA